UACGUAGGGUGCGAGCGUUAAUCGGAAUUACUGGGCGUAAAGCGUGCGCAGGCGGUUUUGUAAGCCAGAUGUGAAAUCCCCGGGCUUAACCUGGGAAUGGCAUUUGGGACUGCAAGGCUUGAGUUUGGCAGAGGAGACUGGAAUUCUCGGUGUAGCAGUGAAAUGCGUAGAUAUCGAGAAGAACGCUCGCAGCGAAGGCGAGACUCUGGGCAAAUUCUGACGCUGAUGCACGAAGGCUAGGGGAGCAAACGGG
rnacentral:rRNA from 1 species